UAGUAACGGCGAGUGAAGAGGGAAAAGCUCAAAUUUUGAAUCUGGUGUCUUUGACUCCCGAGUUGUAAUCUAGAGAAGUGUUUUCCGUGUCGGACCACGUAUAAGUUCCCUGGAACGGGGCGUCAUAGAGGGUGAGAAUCCCGUAUAUGCCGUGGACUACCGAUGCUCUGUGAUACACUCUCAACGAGUCGAGUUGUUUGGGAAUGCAGCUCAAAAUGGGUGGUAAAUUCCAUCUAAAGCUAAAUAUUGGCGAGAGACCGAUAGCGAACAAGUACCGUGAGGGAAAGAUGAAAAGCACUUUGGAAAGAGAGUGAAACAGUACGUGAAAUUGUUGAAAGGGAAGCGUUUGAAGUCAGUCACGUUUGUUGGGAUUCAGCCUGGCUUCUGCCUGGUGUAUUUCCUAGCCGAUGGGUCAGCAUCAGUUUCGACCAAGGGAAAAAGACAUUUGGAAUGUGGCUGUCUUCGGGCAGUGUUAUAGCCUUGUGUUGUAUGCCUUGGUUGGGACUGAGGAAUGCAGCGCGCCUUAUGGCCGGGGGUCGCUCCUCUCGACACGCGCUUAGGG
rnacentral:rRNA from 1 species